CUGAACGUGGCCUGUUGAGAGCCUCUCACAGAUGCUCGAGAGGAUUGAGAUCUAGAGGACUUGGAGGCCAAGGUAACACCUUGAAAACUUUGUCAUGUUCCUUAAACCAAUCACGAACAAUGUUUGCAGUGUGGCAGAGUGCAUUAUCCUGCUGAUAGAGGCCACUGCUAUCAGGAACACCAUUGCCAUAAAGAGGUGUAUGUAGUCUGCAACAAUCUCUAGGUAGGUAGUAUGUGUCAAAGUAACAUCAACAUGAAUGCCAGGAAUCAAGGAUCACCUGCAGUGCAUUUCUCAGAGCAUUAUAUUGCAUCUGUCAGCCUUCCUUCUUCACACAGUGCAUGCUGCUGCCCUCUCUUCCCCAAGGAAAUGAUGUACAUUCAUGCAGCCCCCCACCUGAUCUAAAAGAACAUGUGAUUUAAUGCCAUCGAACCAGGCAACUGUAUUCCAUUGCUCCAUGGUCCAGUUCUGAUGCUCAAGUCCCCACUGAAGGCGCUUUCAGUGGUGGACAGGGGUCAUCAUGGCUGCUCUGACGAGUUUAUGGAUAUGCAGCCCCAUAUACUGCAAACUGCAAUGCACCGUGUGUUCUGACACCUUUCUUUCAAAGCACAUUUGCUCCCUCAGUACAUCAAUGAGCUUGGGAACCUAUGACUCAGAUGCCUGCUCACCAGUUUUCCUUCCUUUGCACCACUUUUGGUAGGUAUUAACCACUGCAUACUGGAAACACCCCACAAGACUUGCAAUUUUGGAUAUUCUCUGACCCAGUCAUCU